GAUGAACGCUAGCUACAGGCUUGACACAUGCAAGUCGAGGGACCGGCGCACGGGUGAGUAACACGUAUCCAACCUGCCCUUUACUCGGGGAUAGCCUUUCGAAAGAAAGAAUAAUACCCGAUAUAAAGGAUGGGGAUGCGUUCCAUUAGGUUGUUGGUGAGAUAACGGCCCACCAAGCCUUCGAUGGAUAGGGGUGCUGAGAGGAAGGUCCCCCACAUUGGAACUGAGACACGGUCCAAACUCCUACGCGAGGCAGCAGUGAGGAAUAUUGGUGAAUGGGCGGUAGCCUGAACCAGCCAAGUAGAGUGAAGGAUGAAGGCUUAUGGGUCGUAAAUUUCUUUUAUAUAAGAAUCGGUAUUAUAUGAAUAAGGAUCGGCUAACUCCGUGCCAGCAGCCGCGGUAAUUC
rnacentral:rRNA from 1 species